GGGGGGGUGAAGUUGGGCGCUCACUCGGAGGAGUUUGGCGCGAGAAGUGGGGGAGCCGGAGGGUGGGGGGCAGGCGCGGCGCCAAGCGCGGUUUUCUCCGGCUUAACGCUCAGGGUCCCGUGGAGACCCCUAAAUUUAGGAAGGUGAGGGUUCAGUCCUGAGGUCUGUGAAUGACUGUCAUUGUCUCUGAGCAUGUGCAGAGUACCACCUUUCCCCUCAUCUUUAGGAUGAAAGAGCUGGUCUUUCCGCAGCACGGCUCUCGGCAUCUCCUUUUCACAGGGUUGGAAGGGUUUGCCUUGGCGCGGCCUCUGGGGCAGGAACGCCUCAGUUGCAUUUCAGGCAGAUGCUCAGCAGGUCCUCGCUGUAUUUCCAAAGCGGGUAAGCUGCAUUUGUUUAAUAUAAGGUUGGUGUAAUUAUUCAUGCAGCUUUGGAAGGUACAGGAGCUUUGCAAGUGCAGAGAAACGAGAUGGCAACUACUGCAGAGAGAUCUCUGAACAAAAGUAUGCAAACUAAUCAGCCUUGUGUCCUUUCAGGCCUCUGUUUACACAGUAGUUGAACAGAAUGUCUGGAUCAGACAAUGGACACUUACACUUUGUUUUGAAUCCCUAACCUUGGGCUAAUCAUCACGUUCUAUAAACCUAUCUCAGCUUUGUUAGGGGGAGAAAAUGAGUUAACCAUCUUGUACUCUGGCCUCAUCUCUGGAGGAUGAUAUACAGAGGAGGAGAGGAGCAGGGUGUCUAGUGGGUGGGUGGCUGCCUGCCUAUCAACUCAAGCUUUUUCUGGUCCCCUAUCUUGCAUGGUGGAGUCACUUUGAUUUAAAACAAAAACUGCCCAUAUUGUCUGGGAAAUCUUGUAAUAAAGGCACUGUGUUUAUUGGGAAAAAAUCAAAACAGCAGCAAAACUUUGUGCAGAUACUGUAGUAGAAAGAAAACUCAUUUCAUAACAUGAAACCACAUAAAUAUUAAUACAAAGUGAUAAAUUUGUAUUGUGAUGGCUUCAUUUCUCUCUCCAGAUGGUUUCAGAAGAGGAGGCAAACAAUGAGAAAGGUAUUGGAAAACAAGUUGGGCCACAGUCAUAACUUUCAAAUUGUUGUGACGCUGACCUCUGUGAGAGUGAAACAGAGAACUACCCUACCCAUAAAGGUUUAGCAGCCAGGAAUAAACUGCAAAGCUUUAGGAGAUUACAGUGUACUAUCUGGUUCCAGAUGUACAACCGAGUCACUCUGAAUCCUUGCGUAUUGCAGAUUUCAAGACAUUCUUGAAUUUUUAAAUUCAACCCAAAAAUCUUAAAUCUGUAGGCAGGACCAGCUCAAUACGUUUUGCUGUCUGAGACAGAGGACAAGAUGGCACCCCCAGCCAUUUUAUGUACAGAAACCAGCCGGACUGGUAGCUGCAUCUUAGUUCAACACUGCCGAUGGGACAUCACUGCUCCCUCAGCAUUUACUGCCUGAGGCAGCUACCUCACACUGCCCAAUAGUACAGCUGACCCAGCUAUCAGGAUUUUUCUGCUAUACAUAAUAGUAUGAACUGGCCUCCAUCAUUUUGGAGAAAACAGCAUUGACUAUAGACAUGACAUCAAUUUAAGUUGUGUUUCUUGGAUAUUAAUGCUCGCUGUAAGACAAUUUGGAUUUCUGUGCAGAAGAUUCUAGGUUCAAUCUGUGAUAUUCCCACAUAUAGGACUGGACAAAAUUCCUGUCUGGAACCAUGAGAAAGACUGCCAGUAAAUGUGCAUAGAGCCUAACUGCCCCAUUGUGUUCAAUAGAGUUUAUUACCACACUGUAGAUAUAAUGACUAUGAAUAGUUGCAAUCUUCAGUUUCUGAAGUAUUCCCAGUUUUGGGCAGCUAUCUUGGGAAUCAAAACUGGUCAAAGAAAUCUUGCAAACACGUUUAUUAUUUCCACAGAGUUUGCUGCCAAGUUUUGUAUCGGCCUUGAUAUUUGUGUCUCAUUCCUAAAGAUACAUGUAGGUAAAAAAAUCUUUCCUCUGAAAAGAUUUCCUCUCUGAAACAGGUUGGCUUACCCACAGGCAAAAUAGUUACUGGAAAUUUUCACCAAGAAACCUGUUCAUCUUGAAUAAACUGAUCUGGUUUUUAAGGUGGACUCGGCCAAGAUAGACAUUUUACCUUUCUGUUGCAGGCUCUCAUUGUCCAUUGGAAAGUUUUUAGCAUUUUACCAACUGGGUGCUUUUAUCGACAAAGUGCAGCAAUAAUUCUUUACAUAAAAUUUUGUGCUCUUUUUGGAGAUAAUUGUUUUGUGUAGAGAUAGAUUGAUUAUGUACAAUUAAGAAACUGGACAUUUCUGCAAUACUUUAAACUUAAUAGAACUUCUGUUGUAGUAUAAAAAUACAACAUACCAUGCAAUUUGCUGCCUUUGAGUUUAGAUUGUGACAAUCUGUGUGGUGUGGAGUGUGAUCCUGUUAAUUGUCGCCUUAAAGACAGAGAGGUGUGGUAGGAGCAGACUUUUAAAUUGACAGUUCUAGCUUUUAGAAUUUUUUGUGUGUAUUUAGUGGAAAAGGCCAAUAUUGCGAUUUCCAUUACACCAUUAAACAGUACUCAUAUGAAUUAUGUACAGGACUGGACAUUUGACGCAUCUGUUUUGAUUUGAUCUACUGCCAAGGCAGUGGAUCAACAUUGCUAUGCAGGGUUCAGCUUGGAUCGUGAGCUCGCUUUAAUUCCACCCUGUGAACUGAGAAAAGGGCUCCCCUGUUGGUGUUACAGUGUGUGUUAUUGUGUGCAUCUGUGUUUAAUGUAUUACGUUUCUGGUGUGUGUCUGUGUGAAGUCUGGCCUCACCUGCUACUGAAAUGCAGCCCCUAAGAACUUUCCAAUCCAGGUAAUCAGGCUCUCAGACUCAUAAAAGUUCCCUGCUCCUGCAUUAUGGGAAGAGAAGGCAUGACAGGUGCAGGCUUAGGGAGUGACUCACAAUGUGUCAGUUUAGAAGAUGCUGAGAUAUCACUGAGUCAACUGGUUUGUUGCAAACCAACACACCUUAUGUUUGGUAUUAAACAGACUUGUUUGUACCUGGCAUGUUGCAUUACAGGACAGAUCUCUCCUACUCGCCUAGAUCAGGAUAUCUUUUCCCUUUUAGGGCAUCUCCUCCUUUAAAAAAUGGUCUCCCUUCCCCCUCUCCACAGGUUUUUGUAGAACGAGGUUCAGUGUGUGUCUUAGCGACGGAUCUUUUUUUUAAAUGCUGCUACAGGGCCAUCUGAAUAAUUUUGUAUGGGUGACACCAUUUUUACAAGGGUCUAAGGCAGGCAUAGGCAAACUCAGUCCUCCAGAUGUUUUGGGACUACAACUCCCAUCACCCCUAGCUAACAGGACCAGUGGUCAGGGAUGAUGGGAAUGGUAGUCUCAAAACAUCUGGAGGGCCGAGUUUGCCUAUGCCUGGUCUAAGGCAAAGUUUUUUGUUGGACUACAAAUCCCAUUAUCCCUGACCAUUGGCCAAUGGCCAUAUUGGCAGGAGUUGAUGGGAGUUGGAGUUGAACAACAUUCGGAGUGUCACAGGUUCCCCAUCCCUGAACUGUUGUACUUUGUCACUUAGCAUUAUUAAACCAAUAAAUACAUUUCAUAUGAAUUCCUUCUUCAGCUAUAAGUUUGACCUCAGUAACUACAGGAAUUGUUGCUGCGACCUUCAUUUAUCUCUGAAUGCUUCAUGCUUUCCCCAGCACUAUAUUAUCGACACUCAUUGUUUCAUCUCAGCUCAGAUUAUAAAGUUUGCGGUUUAGAGAGUCUGGUUUUAGCUCCUUAUCCUGGGAAAACAAGUUCUAACAUGCUUCAAGGUACUUCAGUAAUGAUAAGUAAAUAGUGAUUAACGGCACUGAACAUCUCAAAGGGUAGAUAAGUACAAAAGCAAACACUGGACAAAUUAGCAGCCGGCAGGCGGCGCUGUAUGAUGCACAAGGCAACUUACUUCAUUCAGUCAAAGGCUGGGGAAGAAUCUCAUGUUUUAUUCACUAGCAUGAAUAAAAUUAAAUCAGAAGUAUUGUCGAAAGAGCGGAUUUCAAUUUUCUUUUAAUUUCAUUUAUUUGCUUUAAUUGUUACAUGAUCCUGUAAGGGGAGAAAAGAAGCCCCAGUCAAAUCAAUUUGUCUCAGAGCUUUGCUUAUGCAAGAAGGGUGGAGGUAUAGAGGAGGGAGAGAUAGAUCCUAGCAAUCCUGAUUCCUAAACAAAUUAACACCUCCAGUGGUUAAUAAUAGGAUUCUUGCUUUGUUUGAGGGAAUGCUAAUUAAAAGUUAAUGCAUACAGCUGGAAAGACGCUGAGAGAAUGCUAAGAAGGCGGCACAAACAAAAGCGAGAAGAUGUGUACUAACAGCCACUUCCGUACUGCAGUCUGUACCAUGUAUAUUUCCACAUUAUUUGACUGGACAGGGAAAUGGAAGUGACUGAACUGGUCUGACUGGGAUCAGACGACAAUAGCUAGAGUUAUAGUGUAUCUUUUGUCACCAGGGUGCCAUGAAAUUUAAUAUUUUCAGUAUCUGAAGCUCUAUAAGCCCUGAAGAUUGAGAGAUCACCUUUUCUUAUAGUGAUCUGAAUUAUUUCUUUUGUGUUGUUUUGUGUUGCUUAUUCCUCGAAUUAAAAGGGAAAGAAUAUUGGAGACUUUGGAUUUUUGUAUUGGUUUGUUUACAAAUACACAGGCUCAGCUGCUGAGGAGAAAAAGGCACUUAAGUAGUGCUAGUCCUAAAGUAGCAUCAUUCCUCC